CACCCCAAGCAUCAGGAGAGGUGCCGGGAGGAGAUCCAUGGCCUCCUGGGUGAUGGAGCCUCCAUCACCUGGAACCACCUGGACCAGAUGCCCUACACCACCAUGUGCAUUAAGGAGGCACUGAGACUCUACCCACCAGUGCCAGGCAUUGGCAGAGAGCUCAGCACUCCCGUCACCUUCCCUGAUGGGCGCUCCUUGCCCAAAGGUAUGAAGUUCCCCCACCCUCUCACCUAAAC
rnacentral:sRNA from 1 species